AGAUUAGCUUGCUAAAUUUGUCAGCUAAGUGGCGCACGGGUGAGUAAUGUAUAGGUAAUAUGCCUCUUACUAAGGGAUAACAAAUGGAAACGUUUGCUAAUACCUUAUACUCCUUAUUAACAGAAGUUAAUAAGGGAAAGAUUUAUUGGUAAGAGAUUAGCCUGUAUUGUAUCAGUUAGUUGGUGGGGUAAUGGCUUACCAAGACUAUGACACAUAACUGGUUUGAGAGGAUGAUCAGUCACACUGGAACUGAGACACGGUCCAGACUCCUACGGGAGGCAGCAGUGGGGAAUAUUGCACAAUGGACGAAAGUCUGAUGCAGCAACGCCGCGUGGAGGAUGACACAUUUCGGUGCGUAAACUCCUUUUAUAUGAGAAGAUAAUGACGGUAUUAUAUGAAUAAGCACCGGCUAACUCCGUGCCAGCAGCCGCGGUAAUACGGGGGGUGCAAGCGUUACUCGGAAUCACUGGGCGUAAAGAGCAUGUAGGCGGAUUAAUAAGUUUGAAGUGAAAUCCUAUAGCUUAACUAUAGAACUGCUUUGAAAACUGUUAAUCUAGAAUGUGGGAGAGGUAGAUGGAAUUU
rnacentral:rRNA from 1 species